UGAGCAAGUUGAAAAUUCGAAUUCAACGGGUCGAAAUAUACUCCUUGUUCGGUAGGACCUGUAAAUGCACACGAAACCCACUCAGCGCCUACACUAUACAUAAGUAACCAAUAUUAUG